AGGCGGAUAGCUCAGUUGGUUAGAGUAUGGUGCUGACAAUGCCAAGGUUGCAGGUUCGAUCCCCGCAAGGUACAGCUGCCUA